rnacentral:rRNA from 1 species
UACGUAGGGGGCGAGCGUUGUCCGGAUUUAUUGGGCGUAAAGGAGCGUGUGAGCGGCCAGGUAGGUCUGCUGUGAAAACUCGAGGCUCAACCUCGAGACGUCGGCGGAAACCAUCUGGCUAGAGUCCGGAAGAGGAGAGUGGAAUUCCCGGUGUAGCGGUGAAAUGCGCAGAUAUCGGGAGGAACACCAAUGGCGAAGGCAGCUCGCUGGGACGUGACUGACGCUGAGGUGCGAAAGCGUGGGGAGCAAACAGG